rnacentral:tRNA from 1 species
GGGCGAGUAGCGUGAUAAAGUAGACACACCGGUCUGUAAAACCGGAGGCGUUAGUCCCGAGUGGGUGCGAUUCCCUCUUCGCCCA